rnacentral:rRNA from 7 species
AACUCAAAGGAGACUGCCAGUGAUAAACUGGAGGAAGGUGGGGAUGACGUCAAGUCAUCAUGGCCCUUACGACCAGGGCUACACACGUGCUACAAUGGCGCAUACAAAGAGAAGCGACCUCGCGAGAGCAAGCGGACCUCAUAAAGUGCGUCGUAGUCCGGAUUGGAGUCUGCAACUCGACUCCAUGAAGUCGGAAUCGCUAGUAAUCGUGGAUCAGAAUGCCACGGUGAAUACGUUCCCGGGCCUUGUACACACCGCCCGUCACACCAUGGGAGUGGGUUGCAAAAGAAGUAGGUAGCUUAACCUUCGGGAGGGCGCUUACCACUUUGUGAUUCAUGACUGGGGUGAAGUCGUAACAAGGUAACCGUAGGGGAACCUGCGGUUGGAUCACCUCCUUACCUUAAAGAA